UACGGGGGGAGCAAGCGUUGUUCGGAAUUACUGGGCGUAAAGCGCGUGUAGGCGGCCGACUAAGUCGGGGGUGAAAUCCACUGGCUCAACCAGUGAAGUGCCUUCGGGACUGGACGGCUUGAGUAUGGCAGAGGGAAGCGGAAUUCCAGGUGUAGCGGUGAAAUGCGUAGAUAUCUGGAAGAACACCGGUGGCGUAGGCGGCUUCCUGGGCCAAUACUGACGCUAAAGCGCGAAAGCCAGGGGAGCAAACGGG
rnacentral:rRNA from 1 species